rnacentral:rRNA from 1 species
UCUACGGGUGGCAGCAGUAGGGAAUAUUGCUCAAUGGGGGAAACCCUGAAGCAGCAACGCCGCGUGGAGGAUGAAGGUUUUCGGAUUGUAAACUACUUUGGUUAGAGAAGAUAAUGACGGUAUCUAACGAAUAAGCACUGGCUAACUCCGUGCCAGCAGCCACGGUCAUACGGAGGGUGCAAGCGUUACUCGGAAUCACUGGGCGUAAAGAGCGCGUAGGCGGGUUAGCAAGUCAGUUGUGAAAUCCUAUGGCUUAACAAUAGAACUGCAUUUGAUACUGUUAUUCUAGAGGAUGGGAGAGGUAGGUAGAAUUCUUGGUGUAGGGGUAAAAUGCGUAGAUAUCAAGAGGAAUACUCAUUGCGAAGGCGACCUGCUAGAACAUAACUGACGCUGAUGCGUGAAAGCGUGGGGAGCAAACAGGAUUAGAUACCCCAGUAGUC